AGAAACUUUGUUCGCCUUGGAGAUUUCAUGGUUGCAGUUCGUCUGCAUUUGAUCUUCUCACAGACAAAAAGGAAGAAAGGAUGAGACCCACUGCACAAGGGGAAGAGAGGAACAGGAAAAGACAGGAAAAGGAAACAAACCCAGUCAUCUCACAUUCCUGGAGAAUUUCCUUUGUGACACUGACACUCAAUGUAAGAGUCCUGUAGGCUGAAAAAACAGGGGGUAGAUGUCUAUAAACCUUUUGGGAGUUACAGAUUGUUUAUGUGUCUCUUCCUGCUGGAAAUGUUG